CGUGUAGGCGGCCCCUUAAGUCCUGCGUGAAAUCCUGCGGCUCAACCGCAGACGGUCGUGGGAAACCGGAGGGCUAGAGUGCGGGAGAGGAGAGUGGAAUUCCCGGUGUAGCGGUGAAAUGCGCAGAUAUCGGGAAGAACACCCGUGGCGAAGGCGGCUCUCUGGAACGCAACUGACGCUGAGACGCGAAAGCGUGGGGAAGCAAACA
rnacentral:rRNA from 1 species